CUUUCUUUUAAGAGGUGGGAAGGACACUCAGCUUAAUUUUUUUUUUUUAAUUUUUUAAUGUUUACUUAUUUUUUGAGAGAGAGAGAGACAGAGUGUGAGUGGGGGAGGGGCAGAGAGAGAGAGGGAGUCACAGAAUCUGAAGCAGGCUCCAGGCUCUGAGCUGUCAGCACAGAGCCCGAUGUGGGGCUCGAACUAUGAACCAUGAGACCGUAACCUGAGCUGAAGUCGGACGCUUAACCAACUGAGCCACCCAAGGCACCCCAGGAAACUCAGUUUAAAGUUAGUGGUUUAAUAUGUAGUACAGAAAUACAGUUCUUACCUUGUUUCAUCAAAAGUAACAAUCCAGUGAAGUUCUAUGAUUUUAUAUAGAGUCCUUAUUAAUAACUUAACAUCUAUUAACAUCAGUAGUAAGUCUUUUUAAUAAUAUUUACAAGGAUCAUACCUUCCUAGUAGGUAGCUGAGUGCUUCUUCCAUCACCUUGCCAAUGCCCAGUUUAUCCACUUCAGUCAUUGAAAAAUACUUAAUACCCAGAGUUUUCAAAAUAUAGCUAUGAAAGAGGAAAUAUUAAUAUAACCUACAAUUAAUAAAGAGUCUAGUUCUAUGCACUACUGUUUCCUUUUAAAGAAAAGAUCGUUGUGGUAUGAUACAUAAAAUAUUUGAGUUCUGUGACCUAUAUGUAUAUAUCAAUGUAUUUUUAACAGCAAGCCAAUAUAAAAUUCACCUGAGUUAUAUGCAUAAAUACUUAUAUGGAUAUAUAGAUAUCGAUAUAAUGCUUGGUACUUAAAACAAUUUUUGUGUCACAGGUUUGACCAGCAUGCAUGCAAAAGGGAGAAAGCGAAGACUUCAUGGAGAAAAGCAUUAAACAAGACCUGUGGUCUCCGCCCAGCACCAGGCUGGUCCUUCCAUUCUUCUUCACCUCUGCCACCACACCAGCCAGCUGCUCAUUCACUUUUCCCACAGACCUUGGAUUCUUCACAAUUUCAAAGGGAGGAUCAUUAGGGACGUCAACAAAGGGCAGGUCCCCGUAAUCUUUCACAUCACACCCUAUAAUUAACACCAAAAGUUUCAGGUUACUACAUAAAAAAGAUGACAGUCUGUGUACGAUUAUUCCAAAUUUACAAAACAGUGCACUUUUAUAAGCAAAGAAAGCAUCUGGGAGGACUGCAAAAGUUGCAAAGGCAGAAGAAUCCAUGUCUACUUUUGCCUGACGUCAUCCUCUCAGCUGAACACCGGGGUCUCGGUCAAUACUUGUGGAAUCAAUCCAGUUAGGCUGGACACUAAAGUAUGACAGCGAUAAUCUUCUGGUUUGGCCUUAAUGAGUGGCUUCGCUCUCUUGAUCUCUGUGUGGCCCUCUCUCUGCCUGUGUUCUUUCCACCUUUGCAAUAAGCGUGUCUUGUAUUUAUAAUAAAAAAUAGUUUUUUUAGAAGAA